CCCUUUCUCACUGGCUUACAGACUCUGAAGAAGCUUAAUAAUUACAGAGGAAUGCAGUCAAAGUGUUUUUAAGGACAUAUGUGCAGAGGCUUAUUUUAGUCAUUUCCUAACAGCAAAUGCACUGGCGGAUUCUCAAGGAGAAAUCUGGGCACAAAUUUUCCCUUCUCUCAACCCCCCAACAAAAAGAUGAUUUACGCUUAUAUCAAAAAGAGGCUUAACCAGUGUGGAGCUGAAAGAAUAUUUCCCAGCCUGUAGGAUUAUGCUUUUCCACAGCCACACCACUUACCCUCUCCUUCUGGUGAAAUACAAAGUGUAUCCCUGUUCUGCUGAGCCUCCCAGAUGGGCUUUUUUUUUUUUUUUUUCCAAUUAAAAGGCCAACAGAAAGCCUGCACGUUCCCUCUAAAAUAUUAUCCUAUCCUUCUGGACUAUUUCACCUUCUCUGAAGUCACUGGUUCAGCUGAUGGUGACUCCGCUGCUUAUGUGUCGUUACCCAUGAACUUGAAUGUCACAGAGAGAGCAACAAGAAUUAUUCCAGAAUAUGAGCAGAUUCGCUUCACCAGAUCUUUUGGACUCCUGCACGAUCUUGAGUAUGCUCACUCCUACUGCAGCUCAAUUGUUGCAAACAAACAUCACCAAAAUAUUUUGAGGGAAGUAUGCAGAUGUUUUGCAAGGAGCAUGAUAUACUGUCCAUGGGGGAAACAACCUCAAGGUUUUGUCUGGAACCCUAAUGGUUUGGCUAAAACACUUCUUCUGGGAGAGAAUCCAGGACUCAUGGAAGAUUGAGGUAAGUUUCCUGAACACUGAGGUGUGAAUGGGAAGAGACAUCUUUCACAUCCUUAGCUGAAACAUUCAGGUGAGUGAAAAUAAAUAAAAGUUUACUGCGGGGAAUAAAGGAGACAAAGAGGUAGAGCCCAAUUUGAACCUGGGGAUUCAGGGUCCUUAGGAGAUGUCCUGAGCCACACUAUUCUGUGUCAAAGAGCAGUUGCUGUGUUUUAUACUAAAGAAAAACUGUCCCAGAAACACAGACACCAAAACGCUAAGUUUUUUCAUCCUAAGCUGAUAUCUUAACAUUGGACUAGAAUAUUUCUUUGUCCUAUUGUCUUCUCUUCUUUUGAUUCAGCAAUCCGCUUUAGAGAGUGACACAGCUUGGAUGGAGAGAAAGAGGAGAGAGGAUGUGGAGAGAAGGGUCAGUGUCAAAGACUAUAACUUGCCCUUUGCACCAGGGUGUGCUCCCAUAGUUGGAACAUUAUUCUCAGAUCCAUCUUUCCUGGAUCUGAAGACUGAAUUGAACUACAGCCUCUUCUGCGUCCUGAGCAAGAAAGAGUGGUUCCUACUUCUUCUUGGAAGGAAUUGUUUCCUGUUUUAGAAACACUCCAGCCAAGCCUCCCAAAAUAGACCUCACAUUAAACAGUGAAUAUUAAGUAGAAGAAGAAUGCUAGGUAGAGGAAGGCCCAGUUUCUGACUUUAAGCAGGUCUUAGGCACGAGUGGCAGAGACCUGGCCUAAAGCCUGGUGAUGGUUUAGUCCCAUACAAAUUUUAAUCUCUUCCCCCUUGGCUUCUCAAAGUAGAAUAUACCCAGUAGCAUCUUUUAACUUCUUAAACAUUUCCAAAAGCCUGGAUUCUUUGCUCUGUUUUCAUGUUCAGAUAUCUUGUAUUGAACUUUUGGACUCACUUCUGCCUCUAGUUUGUUCUUUUUCCCUAGCAUACAGCUGAGACUCAAUUUCCUGACUGCCUCCUCAGAACAAAGGGCUUGGUACACUGCUCUCACUUCUCUUCUGUGAGGCUGCUGUUCUUCACUUCUUCCUGAGAGGACUGAACCAUCCUGAAGGGAUCCUGUCGCUUUCUGAGUGAAUUACUUCUGAUAUCUCACUUGUAAUCUGAAGCAUGGAACCAAGUCUCAUUUCA